UUGGUUAUCUUUCUGCCUUUACGUGGGUUUUGAGAUUGACCUUAGGUCUUCAGACUUUUAUCAUCCCUCAUCUACCAUGAAGUUUUGCUAGUUUAUUGGUUCAAGCGGUCCUCCUGUGUCUCAGCCUCCCAUGUAUUCUUUCUAUCUCUGGAGGCAUUGAACUUCACGCCUUACUAGAGGCUGCAGAAUCUUCUACAUUCUUCAGCUUUGGAGGCCCAGGGUGAACAUGCCAUGGAGUGAGUAGUCACCCCAGAGAUUUCCUGCCUUGAUUCCAGAAGAACCUGGUAGAUCAGUUGAGGUCAAGCUCACUGACAUCCUCCUGUGCCUCAUCUACUAGGAUUACAGGAGUGGCACAGAUUGGACCCUACCCAGAGGAAUAUGCACAAGGAUGUGAUGCUGGAGACCUACAGUCACUGGGUCUCUGCGUGGCCAAACCAGACAUGAUCUUCAAGUUGGAGUGGGGAGAAGAACUGUGUCUAUUAGAAGAGGAAUCCUCAGGUAUGUACAGCCCAAGUUGGCCUGAAACUCAUGAACCUCCUACUUCAG
rnacentral:lncRNA from 1 species